GAUGAAGAACGCAGCGAAAUGCGAUACGUAAUGUGAAUUGCAGAAUUCAGUGAAUCAUCGAAUCUUUGAACGCACAUUGCACUCUCUGGUAUUCCGGAGAGUAUGCUUGUUUGAGUAUCUGUAAACAUCUCAAAUCUCUCUUCGCUUGCGUCGAGAGAAUUGGAUUUGAGCGAUCCCGACUCCUUCGUCAGAAAGAGGAGGGUCGCUUGAAAUGCAGGUGCAGCUGGACACUCUUCUGAGCUAAAAGCAUAUCUAUUUAGUCCCGUCAAACGGAUUAUUACUUUUGCUUCAGCUAAUAUAAAGGUCGAAUGAACUACCAACGCUGAUUGCAGGAAAACUCGUUUGUAACAGAACUUGUAAACUCGAUCUCAAAUCAAGUAAGACUACCCGCUGAACUUAAGCAUAUCAAUAAGCGGAGGA
rnacentral:misc_RNA from 1 species